UUUGAUUUCUAUCUCUCUCUUUACUCUUCCAUUUUGUUUUUCUUCUUGUGUUUUACGGUUUCUUGUUGCUAACAAUUUCAAGAGAAACAAUGGUGAAAACAAUAGGAGCAAUGAAGUCUUAAAGUGGUGAGAAAUCCUCCACUGCUACUCCACCGGAGCUAAAACCCCAAAGAUCCAUAUGAAGACCAAGUCAACGGGCAGUAAGCAUACCUUUUUAGCUAGCUCUCACGGUGGUGGCUCCUCAAAGCCAGUUACAAAUUUAUUAUUAUACUGCCAGUAUGCGACGAUGCUCCCACAACUCUUGCAUUUCCAUCUGCUUCUGAGAUUGCUGCUAUGAACCUAGGGGAGGUAGUUGUAGCACCAGUUCUGGCUGAUCUGAAUGCUAAAGCUGCCCAGGCUUCUGAAGGUUCUGCAUUGCACUUACCUGCCUCUGCACCAGAUCCUAUGUAGAGUGAUUCUACCAGUAAGAGCCCUAAACUUAAAAUUUCUCCUCCUAUUUUCAAAACUAAUGUGGAUUUGAAAAGGAAGUCCAUCUGGUUUGGAAAAUGAUAGUGAAUUUGAGGACGAGGUUGAAGAAAAUGAAACAAACAAGGAGAAGAAGGAGUCUGAAGAUGCCUUAUCAACCAGUUCAGACUCAAAGACCACCACUGAAGACAACUCUGACAAUUAUGAGGAAGAUUUGCCUUUUGCAUUCGAGGAAUUUCCCUCAUUUGAAUUUGAAAGUGAAGAGUCUUUAGAUGUUCUUGCUUCUAAAGCUACUGAGAUCAAAUCCAAAGAAGGGGCUCUCAAAUAGGCUGCUUAUAAAAGGUAGCAAAAACUGGUGACAAGUCUGAUCAACUCGGGCCCUUGUCAAGUGCUAGCGCAAGUAAGCCAACUGAUGCAGCACGUGUGCCUAAUGCACCCGCAACUGAGAAGCCUUCAGAACCUGCUCCUAAAAUUGUCAUUCCUUCCACAAAGUCAACCAAAGAUAAAUCUCUCAUUGUCUCAUCAAUUCAUACUUUUGUCCCUCAUAAUGAUAUUUUCUGUUACAAUGAAAAUCUUAGACGUUGGCCCCUAUAUGAGAAUAAGACUAUUUUUUCUAAGAAUGAUUCUGACCUGGAUGCCCACAAACAGUUUGGGGUAGUCAAAAUUCUUGAAGAUAGGAAAUGGGUUCAUUAUUUAUGCCAUUGAAAAAAUAUGUUCCUAGGUUAGUAAGGGAGUUCUAUGGAGAUCUAACCGAAGAGUUUGAAGAACCUGGGAAGGACUUGUAUGGGAAAGUUUUUAUUCGGGGAGAUUUGUAUGAUUUUGGAGUUAGGGAAAUAUCCAAAGUCUUAGGACUUCCUGCCUAUCCUCAUGUGGAUGACACAAAGUUUUAUCCUAAAGAUAAGGUGGUAUUCGAUUUACUUGGUCAAAAUAUUGUGUGGUCUCCAAAUAACAAUUUCAAAGCUAUAGACAUGACCUAAAAAUAUAUCGUGUUGCAUCAAUUUUCUCAAACAAACUGGUAUCCUACUUCUACUAUUAUGGAAAACAUGGCUUUUGUUUUGUUUGAUAUAGGGACAAGCGAGCCUUUGAAUCUGGCCAAGACCAUUCUAGGCAACAUUCUGAGUCUAGGAAUGGGGAAGAAGAAAUGGCACUCAAUUAUUCACUCGUGCCUCAUUUAUGAGAUUUUCUAAAGAAAGCAUGUAGUGUCUCGAAACUUCUAAUAGAAUUAAGUCCUUUGACUAGCAUGCCGAGGGGGCACGUGAGCAAAUGAAAUUUUGCUGGAGCAUUUCCAUCAGGAUUCAAGUAGGGAAUUUCAACAUACGAAGAAGUGACACUUGUCAUGUCAUUAAUUGAGUUGGCAAGAAGUGAUGAGAUGGAAAAAAUCAGAGGCAAUGAGCUGCAUUUUGAAGCAUUUUCUAGAAGAAAAAAAGAGAAACAUGAGUGGGCCAAAAAUAGAGACAAAUGUGGUGGAACUUCUAAUUAGGGAAAUGAUUAUUAAGCAGCCACCAUUUGAGAGAAGAUCCUAGAGCUGCCAUUGUAGAGAGAAGAGCAUAAAAAAGAAGAAGAAGAAGAAAUUACAAGCUUGAGGAGGAGAAUCCAGGGAAGAGGAGGAAGACAAGAUCACUGAUUCUUCAUCUUUGGCUUGUUUUCUCCUCUCUAAUUUCAUUUAGUUUGUAAUUUCUAUCUUUUGUUAUUUAAAUACCCAUGGGCAUAUUUGAUUUUGGAUUUGUGUUCUUAAAUUUAGAUUUGAACUAAACAUUUUGAGAUUUGAAUUAUUAAUGAAAUUUAUGUCUUAGUUUUAAA